CCUACGGGAGGCAGCAGUGAGGAAUAUUGGUCAAUGGGCGCGAGCCUGAACCAGCCAAGUAGCGUGAAGGAUGACUGCCCUACGGGUUGUAAACUUCUUUUAUAAAGGAAUAAAGUGAGGCACGUGAGCCUUUUUGUAUGUAUAUUAUGAAUAAGGAUAGGCGAACUCCGGGCCAGCAGACCCGGUAAUACGGAGGAUGCGAGCGUUAUCCGGAUUUAUUGGGUUUAAAGGGAGCGUAGAUGGGUUGUUAAGUCAGUUGUGAAAGUUUGCGGCUCAACCGUAAAAUUGCAAUUGAUACUGGCAGGCUUGAGUGCAGUUGAGGUAGGCGGAAUUCGUGGUGUAGCGGUGAAAUGCUUAGAUAUCACGAAGAACUCCGAUCGCGAAGGCAGCUUACUGGGCUGCCACUGACGUUGAGGCUCGAAAGUGUGGGUAUCAAACAGGAUUAGAUACCCUGGUAGUC
rnacentral:rRNA from 1 species